rnacentral:tRNA from 1 species
GCCCUUAUAGCUCAGUGGUAGAGCGCAUCACUCGUAUCUGUGUAGCUGCGUGUUUAUUGCCAAUCUAUUACGUAAUGAUGAGGUCCCUUGUUCGAACCAGGGUGGGGGCA